ensembl:lncRNA
CAGAGAAGAGGAAGGACAGAGUCUAAGAAGAUCAGAGAAGAGGAAGGACAGAGUCUAAGAAGAUCAGAGAAGAGGAAGGACAGAGUCUAAGAAGAUCAGAGAAGAGGAAGGACAGAGUCUAAGAAGAUCAGGGAAGAUCAGAGAAGAGGAAGGACAGAGUCUAAGAAGAUCAGAGAAGAUCAGAGAAGAGGAAGGACAGAGUCUAAGAAGAUCAGAGAAGAGGAAGGACAGAGUCUAAGAAGAUCAGAGAAGAGGAAGGACAGAGUCUAAGAAGAUCAGGGAAGAUCAGAGAAGAGGAAGGACAGAGUCUAAGAAAAUCAGAGAAGAUCAGACAAGAGGAAGGACAGAGUCCAAGAAAAUCAGAGAAGAUCAGAGAAGAGGAAGGACAGAGUCUAAGAAGAUCAGAGAAGAUCAGAGAAGAGGAAGGACAGAGUCUAAGAAAAUCAGAGAAGAGCUUAAAGGAAAAACGGAAUGUUGUCUAAUACUGAUCUGAUCUUCAUUCUCUCCACCACCUCAUCCUCUCUCUCUCUCUCUGUCUCUCUCUCUCUCAGGUCUCAUUCCCUCUUUCUCUCAUUCCCUCUCUCUCUCUCUCUCUCAGGUCUCAUUCCCUCUUUCUCCCAUUCCCUCUCUCUCUCUCUCUCUCAGGUCUCAUUCCCUCUUUCUCUCAUUCUCUCUCUCUCUCUCUCAGGUCUCAUUCCCUCUCUCUCUCUCUCUCUCAGGUCUCAUUCCCUCUCUCUCUCUCUCUCUCAGGUCUCAUUCCCUCUGUCAGGUCUCAUUCCCUCUCUCUCUCUCUCAGGUCUCAUUCCCUCUCUCUCUCUCUCUCUCUCUCUCUCAGGUCUCAUUCCCCUCUCUCUCUCAGGUCUCAUUCCCCCUCUCUCUCUCUCUCUCUCAGGUCUCAUUCCCUCUCUCUCUCUCUCUCUCUCUCUCUCUC